AGUGAACGCUGGCGGUAGGCCUAACACAUGCAAGUCGAACGGCAGCACAGUAAGAGCUUGCUCUUACGGGUGGCGAGUGGCGGACGGGUGAGGAAUACAUCGGAAUCUACUUUUUCGUGGGGGAUAACGUAGGGAAACUUACGCUAAUACCGCAUACGACCUACGGGUGAAAGCAGGGGAUCUUCGGACCUUGCGCGAUUGAAUGAGCCGAUGUCGGAUUAGCUAGUUGGCGGGGUAAAGGCCCACCAAGGCGACGAUCCGUAGCUGGUCUGAGAGGAUGAACCGCCACACUUGAACCGAGACACGGUCCAGACUCCCACGGGGGGGAGCAGUGGGGGAUUUUUGAACAUUGGCGCCAGCCUGAUCCAGGCAUACCGCGUUGGUGGAGGAGGGCUUCGGGUUGGUAAAGCCUUUUGUUGGGGAAGGAAAGCAGCAAGGUAAAUCCCCGCUGUUCUGGCGGUUCCCAAAGGAUAAACCACGGCUAACUUCGGU
rnacentral:rRNA from 1 species